rnacentral:ribozyme from 1 species
CAUACUCAGAGAGAGAAGGAGCAUUUGGGUAGUCCCGCCCGUGUUCUUCCUUCCCUUCUCACAGUGGCGCCUUUGACGACAAAAAAGACAGUCGUUUCCAGCUCAACCAACCUCUGCACC